GCGGCUGUAGCUCAGUUGGUAGAGCACCUGAUUGAAGCUCAGGGUGUCGGGGGUUCGAACCCCUCUGGUCGCACCA
rnacentral:tRNA from 1 species